UACGAAGGGGGCUAGCGUUGUUCGGAAUUAUUGGGCGUAAAGCGCAUGUAGGCGGCCUAGCAGGUCGGAUGUGAAAUCCCUCGGCUCAACCAAGGAAGUGCAUUCGAAACCGCAAGGCUCGAGUCCCGGAGAGGAUGGUGGAAUUCUCGGUGUAGAGGUGAAAUUCGUAGAUAUCGAGAGGAACACCGGCGGCGAAGGCGGCCAUCUGGACGAGGACUGACGCUGAGAUGCGAAAGCGUGGGGAGCAAACAGG
rnacentral:rRNA from 1 species